rnacentral:lncRNA from 1 species
AGCUGGUCCUAGACAUGCGUGGCGUCGGGGCUGUGGCACGGUCGGGUCCGGGGCUAGGCGAUACAGAUCCCAACAAGGACAGCUUAAUGUUUAAAAGUGUAAGUUCCGAAGUGAGAAAGUCAGACACUCAGAAUCCUUGCCCCACCACUUAGGGGCUAUGUGACUUUGAACAAGUUACCUAUUAAUAGCUUCUUCGCGCCUCCGUUGCUUCAUUUGUAAAGUGAGGUAUGUCCCUGGCCCAUCUCAUUGGCUGCAGCACAUCACAGUGGACCUUCUGCCUCCUCCCAGAUGCCCAGGGACAGUGAUCUGGAAGGAAGGGGCUUGAGGCUGUUUUCCUAGAACUCGAGUGGUAACUUCUGAGCUGACAUCUGAAGGAUGAGGAAAAUCCAGCGAGGCAAAGAGCUUAAGGAAGAACAUUCCAGUCAAAGGAACCAGGCAGAGUUUUUCUGAUAGGAAGUGAAAGGCCUAGUGACACCCCAUGUUUCUUUCUGUUUAUGUUCCAAGCUGGGAUUUGAACAUGAAUUUACACCCUUAUAUCAGGCUAUUGGGUUGAAUGCACCAAGGAAAGGCCAUUUGUGGGGACAUAGCAAGAAGGCAGCUGUCUGCAAGCCAGGAGGAGAACCCUCACCAGAAACCUCACAGAAAUCGGCCAACACCCUCAUCUCGGGCUUCCAGCUUCAGAACAACGAGAAAACAAAUUUCUGUUGUGUCCUGGUUCCCAUUUGUAAUUGGCACCCUAAUGAAACCGUUUUCUGUAGCCCUGGAAAUGGCUGAAAAUGAGGGGAGGGAAAUAAAGUGCUAUAAUUCAGAGCAUGGAGCACACCUUCCUGGUUCACCUGAGCUGGAUUCGGAGAGGUAAAAUGGCCAUUACCUCGUCUAAGCUGCCACUUACAGACACAGUACAGGAUGAGGCCCAGACCCACAGAGACAACGAUGAUGGCCACAGCUAAGAUGAUCCAGAAAUUAUUCCUCCACCAGCUCAUUGCAGUGGAAUCCUGAGAAGAAUGGAGAGAGAAGAAUGAGGCUGGAGUGCAAUGACGUGAUCUCAGCUCUCAGCUCACUGCAACCUCCACCUCCCGGGUUCAAGUGAUUGUCCAGUAGGUGACGUUUGAUGUCAGAGCGCCAAAAACUCCAUCUUCCAUCAUGCUAAUGCCACCAUUUUGUGAACCUGCAUCCUAUGAAGAACGAUGAAGCUUGACUAGGCUUGCACAGAUUGCCGAUGUCCUACUUUUCCCUCCAAUCACCUUCCCCACACCUUAGGCCACCUGCUUCUUUGUCCCAUAAACGUCUCUAAACCCCAUCUUCGAGGAAGUGGGUUUGAGACCUGUUUUCCCAUCUCCUCACUUGGCUGCCUCAUGAAUAAAUGCAUUCUGUGCUGCGGGCAAAAGCAGAUGGCUACACCGAGAACUCACGCCAGCCCAACACACUUUGAUCUCGAGGCCUCUGGAAGGGAAGGUGCCUAAUGAACUACUGAAAGCCAGAGAUGCAAUGACAAAGGAGUCGUACCAGGGCCCCAGGCUGCAAUCCCCUGGCCCAGUGCUGAUCGGUGGCUCCCAGGGACACGCCCUGAUGCCAGCGCUGGCAGAUGUCUGCUGUGAAGAGAGCAGGAAACUGUCCCUUGGAAAGCUGAGAUGCUUACCUGAACUGUGAAAGUAUCCAUAUGUGAGCAGCUAAGGAGACAGCAGUGGCUGGAGUGCUGCAGCUCAGGCACAGCUGGCGAGUUUGCCGUGAGCAUUCCUGGAUGUGGCAACCUCAGUCUCAAGAAGAGCGACAGGACGCCAGCUCCCAUGCAGAGACAGAUCCAGGUAAGAAACCAGCUCAUGUGUGACAAACUCACCAUCUCACCAUGAAGGUGACUCUUGAAAGCUCCUGUGCACCUUGGAACUGCUGAGACAUCUUCUGCUUGGAGGAGGCAAGGGACAGGCUUCCUGUUUCUAAAGGCGUGUGAGUGGCGACCUUGAGAAAUGUGGCCAGUGGAGCAUUUUGACUGAGUUGGGUCCCCUCGUGCAAUACUGUGAGACAGAACUCCCAGCGAGGCCCACGGCCUCUGACCAUGGGGGUUGGAGUGGGGAAACCAAUUAGCCAUUUUGUUGAAUUGGCUGGUUCUGACUCAAAUGAGCAGUCACAUUAGUAAAAAUAGGCAAACGGAUGUGCAUUGUAUUUGCCCAGAGCGAAUGAGUUGUUAUCCAUUUCAGUAAUAAUGAUAACCAGAUAUGUCUGAUAAAUAUCUGAUAAUGUCUGAUAUAUGUCUGGUAAAUUUAACAAACACCGGGCUCUGGCUGGGUGCGGUGGCUCACACCUGUAAUCCCCUCCUGGAGUCACAAAGCCUGGAGCAACAGGAGAACCACUAAAGAAGACGGAACAGCUAGUUCCUGCCUUAAUGAUUAACCGACUUCUUGCAUGACUGCCUGAAAUCCGCCUCCUGUCAGAUCAGCAGGGGCAUUGGAUUAUGAUAGGAGUGAGAACACCAUUGUGGACUGCGCAUGCCAGGGAUCUAGGUUCCGCGCUCCUUAUGAGAAUCUGAUGCCUGAUGAUCUGUCACUGUCUCCCAUCACCCCCAGAUGGGACUGUCUAGUUGAAGAAAAACAAGUUCAGGGCUCCCACUGAUGCUA